CCCUUAGAUGUCCUGGGCCGCACGCGUGCUACACUGAUGCAUACAGCGAGCACUUCCCGGCCCCGAAAGGCGGCUGGUAAUCAGCAAUAUGCAUCGUGAUGGGGAUAGUUCUUUGGAAUUCUUGAACUUGAACGAGGAAUGCCUAGUAGGCGCACGUCAUUACCGUGCGUCGAUUAAGUCCCUGCCCUUUGUACACACCGCCCGUCGCUCCUACCGAUUCGAGUGAUCCGGUGAACCCUUUGGACCGAGGCAGCUCGCUGUUUUGGAAAAUCGAGUAAACCACGUCACUUAGAGGAAGGAGAANUCGUAACA
rnacentral:rRNA from 1 species